rnacentral:tRNA from 1 species
GAGGUUGUGGCUCAGUGGUACAGUACUUGCCUCCUCAUGCAUGAGGCCCUGGGUUCAAUCCUCAUAACCACA